GCCUCCGUAGUGAAACGGAUUUCACGCAGCCCUCCGAAGGCUGAAUUGAAGGUUCGACUCCUUCCGGAGGCACCA
rnacentral:tRNA from 5 species